GUGUGUGUGUGUGUGUGUGUGUGUGUGUGUGCGCGCGCGCGCGCGCGUGCGUUCAGUACAUGCCGGUUUGUAUGGGCCGGCGUGUUUGCGCGUGUCUAGUGCGUACGUGUUUUGUGAGUGUGUUGUCUGUGGGUCGAUGUGUGUGCGUGCACGUGUUAGCGUGUCUGCCUGCAUGCAUGUAUGUGUGCUUGUUUGUGUUCAUCAAUGUGCGCGUGCGCGCUUUUGUGUCUGCGCUUUGAGAGUGCGUAUACUUGUGUGUGCGUGUGGAUGCGUUUUGUGUGCGUGCGUAUGUAUUGCAUGAGGCCGGUAGAGUUUUACUCGCAAUAAAACUCUUCCGAUUUGGUGCAGCGAGUGUUCCCGCCUGAAAGCCGAGUUUGGUUUCAAGCCACCCUGGACAACUGCUGUAUGAGGCGCCGUUUCUCGGGAGGACCAGUGGGAAGGCGCCAAGUAUACGCUUCGUCCUUUUUCCUCCCAUGCCCUAAUGAAUCGAUAUCCUUGUUUUUUAUUGUGAAAGGAACGUUACAUCCAGAGCAUAAAUAAAUGAUUAGGAAAUCUGGUAGUGUGUUUCGCCAUUACAAUAAUUCCGAUCUUAAAGACGUGGAUUUCCCAUUAGCCCACAUUUCUUUUGAUGCAGACAACCGCUGAAAUUGUUAGCGGCAGGUUAUUCGAGACGUUCUACGUAUAUAGCAAUUGUCUUCAGGAGCUUUAAUGAAUAUUGAAAAUUUGAAGUGUUGUGCUUUAGAGGUAUCAUAUAUAAGCUUUAGGUAUCCGGGUAAUUUGCAUGCCCUUCAAGAGCUGUCGCCUAUAGCCCUAUUGAAAUUCGUAACUACAGUUUGGAGCACUGGGGAAGCUAGAAGGCUUGCCCUGGCUCUCGAGAAAGUGUUUAAGCUGGAGGUGUAGGUUGAGGAGUUUGGGGUUGGUAACACAAAGGAUUUUUUAUGCCUUAGCAGUAGGAGUGACACAGGAUAAAAAAAAUGUAUGUGUGUCAAGCACAGGAAGCUGCUCAUGUGGUAGAAGCAUGUGUGCGUGUGUGUGUGUGUGUGCGCGUGUGUGUGUGCGCCCAUGCAUGCGUGCGUGUGUGUGAAUUCUCUCCUCAAAAGGGAGUAUGUGUGUGAGCUAUUUCAUUGCUGGUCUGUUUGCCAAGAAUUGGAAGAAAACACAAUAAUCAAUUUAACUUGAAAUAAUAAACUUCAAAGCAUACUGGCGUACUGGCGACAGCAGCAUACAAGCAUGCAGCUGUGUGACAAUCUUAAUGCAUGACUGCAACAUCUGGAAGGAGGCUUGCUUCUUCAGUAAGCAGCACAAAGUCCAUAUUCUUGGCUUUUCUCGUGCAAACCAAAACGAGGCUCAUUGCCAAUGAUCUUGUCUUUUGCUCUAAUAGCAUUUGUUUAUCUUGUACUUAGAGCGUUGUUUCUCGCAGGUCAUGCAGAUGGUAGCAGCGAUUUCACAAUGCCCAGCCUUGGCGCCCCCCAUCAAGAGCAAGCCACUUGCUUUCGCCUUCAGACAGAUGGUUAACGUCUUCUUGAAAGCGGUUGAGAAGACAACAUUGCUGCAAGAUUCCAGCAAUGCCAUGCGCUGCAUUUAUUGGUCAAGAUGCUCAGAGAAUGGAGUCCCUGCACCUCGUGGUUAACCGUGAACAUUUCUUUUUCUUUUGGAAAGCUAAAGGCCAUUUGCUGCAUCACUUGCAUUUUUGCAGCUCAGAUGUGUACUAUAUUUUUCUAAUUUUGAAUCAAUAUUGGCUAUUCAGUAUAAAAAAUGACGUACAGCGUGAAGGACAAGGACUGCGAGAGACACACUCCACUGACUUUCAACAAUAUUUUAUUGCGUUGCCACAUCGUAUGUGUAUACACAGAGGGGUCAUGCGCAGAAAAUGAAAGCCAGACACAAGGGGUGUUCUAACAGCAAGUCAUUGUAAAAAGAACAUGGUCACUUGAAAAAAAAAAAACAUCACAAUUUCUAUCUGUUUAGAUACAAAAUUUCACUAGGGGUCAGCGUGAUAGAGGGGGCACUAACGCACACACUACCCAGUUUUCUGGUGAAAUCAGCUUCAAUAAUUUACCGGGUGAGCUGUGUCUCGCUAAAACUUCGGUAUCUUAAAGAGGGGCAUGCAGCCGCAGUCCCGGCAAUGAAUGCCCAAGUGGCCUUGAACAGUGUUAUGGACGUUGUUAUAGUGCUCUCUUAAACGAUCAUUUAGGCGCAUGCCUAUCUGUCCAAUAUAUUUACUGCCUCAAAAUGGGAAUUUGGGAAACCACAUUCAUUGCACACAUCGCAAAACGUUUUCUGUGCUCGGCAGAGCAACAACUCUGACGUGAUUUAGGCGCGUUUACACACUUACAGAGCCUUGCCAGCUUUUCCGGGGCUGAGAAAAGGACUGUGAUUUCUGCAGGUCCCCUAAUCUUUUUUAGCCUAUGGGAGACAUCAUGAACAUACGGUAGCACUGCAAACCUGUGUCUUUCAACCGGCUGGUUCCUUGACCGAGCGUGCUCAUCAUGUUUUGUGCACUUCAGAAGCUGUUCCGCUAUGGCUGAAAUUAAGGCCAAAGGGUAGCCAACCCAAGAAAGGCAAUCAGCCUGUGCAGCAACGCUAUGUUGCAUCUCUUGUGAGCAAGAUUUAUUGAGGCUGUUAAGGAGGCAAAGCUUCACAAUAUCUCAUUUGACUUUGUUGGACAGACAGGCAGGCGCCUAAACAAUCAUUUAGGAGAGCACGAUAACAACGUCCAUAACACUGUUCAAGGCCACUUCGGCAUCCAUUGCUGGGACUGCGGCUGCAUGCCCCUCUUUGAAGGUACGGAAGCUUUAGUGAGACAGGUCAUCCAGGAAACUAUAGAAGCAGAUUUCACUAGAAAACUGGUUAGUGUGUGCGUUAGUGACCCCUCUAUCGUGCUGACCCCUAGUGAAGUCUUGUAUCUCAACAGAUAGAAAUUCUAAUGUUUAUUUUUUUCAAAGGACGAUGUUCUUAGUACAGUCACUUGCUGUUAGACACCCCUUGUGACUCAUAUUCUGCGCAUGCCCGCUUUUGUGCAAAUAUACUCGAUGUGGCAACGUAAUUAAAUAUUGUUUGAAGUCAGCGCAGUCUGUCAUCUCUCGCAGUUCUUGUCAUUCAAGCUGUACGUAAUUUUAUCUCAUUAAUUGCAAACUAUCCCAAGGAACUACCCUUGUUCAGUAUAAUUAUAAUGUUUGAUAUGACCAUUUGCUGGCAAAUGUUAACAGUGUGAUAUUUAACUUGAACUUUUGCAUGACUGCCUAUGCCUGUGUUCUUUUAGUAACCAGAGUAUGGCUAAUUUAUUAAACCAUAUUUGCUAAUUUGCAUGCUCACAUGCUAUAGCAUGCCUUAAUCUUGAAUUACUGCAUCUAAGUGCAAAUAAUUUAGAAAUUUACUAUGUAUUUUAAAACACUGUCCACAUUUUGUGCUCAGCAAAAUCGUUUAAUCAACAGUGGUUUGUUUUUAUCAGGCCUCCUGCUGCACUUUGCACCCAGGCACUAGUAGAUGUGGAAUAUGCACUCUUUUGAUUUAUAGUAAGCAAAGAACCUAUUUUCAAACUACAUAUUGUAUAUGUACCAGUGCCUUAGAGUUACAAAACAAAAAUUUAUAGAAACUGGUAUUGUAGUUAGAAAAACCGCUACACAGCACCUUUAGCCCAGAGAACUCUCAUUUCACAAAAGAGGACAAACUAUGUAGGCGCUAAAAAAUUCUACGUAUUUUUUGUGCUCAAGUAAUCUUGUUGGAAAUAGAAAAUUAGCAAUAAGGCUCCUGGCAUAAACCUCACUUAAAGCAUGUCUAUGCUUGGAAAGUAUUCUUUCAGUCUGAAAAAUGUUGGCCAGUUAUGCUUUACAUCGACUUUCCAAACUUUUCAUAAUGCUUUGCGAUUACAUUAGUGUACAAAAUAACAGGUGUCUUUCUUGUGCGUUUGCUCUGCAUUUCAAUUGCUUCCCUAAUUCACCUUUGCAAUAUGCCUUUUUUUAAGGCAUCAAAACUUGAAUUUUCGUUCACUGGAGCCUAAUACUAAAAAUUUAUUCCUUUAUGUGGCCCAAAACACUGCGAAUCAACCCAGGCUCUUUCAGUGCCGCUAUACAUAGUUUCUUCUCUAAUAACAGAUUUGAUCAAUACAUAUAUUUUAGGUACCUUUGUGGGGAAUGUACAUGUUCUUGUACUUACCGAUGUGUUUGGUGAUUGUGCAUGAUUAUAUUUCAUGUGAUUUAUGUAUAUGUUGUACUCUGUAUUGCAGCAUGCAAUAAAUAUAUUUGCAUUUUCUUGAAAAUGCAGCAUAUAUCUUACCAGUCUGUGUUGCAUGUUAUUUGGAUAUGGAAAUCGUGAUAACCUUGGUGUUGAUAUACAUGCUCAAAAGUGUCCAAGUUUGCUAGGUUGUAUUUGUGCAGCGAAGACAGGUUUUCCAAUAUACACCAUGAAUUACUAAUAUGUAAUGUGAUCCACACGUAUAGGUGUUGUGUAUGCCCAUCGAAGCUUCAAGGCCGGCUGUUCGACAGUGCGUUUUGUAGCCGAACUUGAACCUUCUGGCACACGCAGUAGUUGCGCGUGGAUCGCUGUACAUAGUAGUAAUUGAAGGUGUGUACUGCCGAAUCUGCCUUCCAUACACGCUAGAAAUAAAAGGGUCUACACCCUUCCAACACCCACACAGAUGGGUGUUAAUUUGGAUGAGCAGCCUUACACCCUAAAUUUAUUUUGCUGGACACCCUUCCUUUAGGGUGCUAUAGUGGCACCCCAACUGUAGGGUGUAGACAACAGCACCCUUAGGGUGUUCGUCUGGCGACAAACUGAUUUACACCCUUAAGGGUGUUAAAAUGUUUAGUGUGUGUGGCUGGCUGAGUGCAUCUGCACCGACUACUGCAGCGAAAGACACACAGCCUACUUUCGGGACCACGUGUGGCUGACGUCACCUGCUGGACCCGAUAAAACAACGCUCCGAUCGGCUUCUCGGUACUGCAGCGAAAGACGCACAGCCUACUUUCGGGAUCACGUGUGGCUGACGUCACUUGCUGGACCCGAUAAAGCAACGCUCCGAUCGGCUUCUCGGACACUUGGCAGCAGAGGCGGCGGGCAGAGCAGUGGCUAAGAAUCUACUUACAUUCACAGGGAACUCCAAAGCGACCGCCGUGUUGUUCCCUCGGUGAUGGCCACUGAAGCACCCACCGCGCAGUAAGUUACCGCGCCGCAUCCGUCCCCACCGUCUGUCAUCUUAUCACUUCCGAAAGAUCCAGGCACCUUCUGUGGCACAGAUGACGUGGACGUUGAUGAUUGGAUUUCGUGGUAUGAGCGUGUCAGCAAACAGAACAGGUAGGACGAUACCCUUAUGCUGGCAAAUGUGGUAUUUUAUCUUAAGGGAAGUGCACCCGUCUGGUUCAAGGCACACGAGCACGAUGUCACCACCUGGAACCUAUGCAAAGAAAACCUGAACGACUUGUUCGGCAAGCCCUUGGGUCAUCAGCUAGCCGCUAAAAAAAGAACUUGCUUUCGCGAGCUCUACUGAAUCGUAGAUUUCAUAUAUUCAGGAUAUUCUAGCGCUUUACCGCAAAGGUGGCGGUAACAUGUUGUCACAGAGUUGCAUCCCCGCGCCCCUCUCGAGUGGGCCGACAUUGCCACCGCAGCCGCAACGCUGCUUGCACGGCGAUGAGGGAGAGCGCUCCCCAUUGUCCCCGAACCCGCCCGACGGGUUGAUCACGUGUGUCGGCCGAGCGCGGCAGAGGUACGAGGCGGCUCGGCGAGCGGCAGAGCAGCUUGGAGGAGGACGAAGGAGUGGGGUCGUGCACCGGGGGACAGCUGAAGAUGUGGUCGGCAGGCUGAGAUCUCCAGGCCGAAGUCUUCGCCGGUCGAGCGACAGACGGUGCAAGUCCGUCCGGAUCUUCGGCAGCGAGGUUGCAGCAGCCCGACGCUCUUCAGAUCGGGACCUCGGCAAGCACGCCCCAGAUAUGCCUCGUGUUCCAGGCCGCUCUCAAACUUUCCGCCGGACUCUCUUUUCUAAUCGCGUUCAAUCUUUCAUUUGUUUAGCCAUCGAGUGUUAAUUAUUGUGUGUCCUGUUAGUUUAAUGUUUGCCCUAUUUAUUGUCGCUUGUAUUUUUCAUUUGUGUUGCGUAUUUUAUUUGUAUUUCGCGAGUGUUAAUGGUUCCCACGUGGUGGGCUUAGUGUCGCGCGAGUGGCGUCAGGGCGUGUGUUGUGUGACCCGCACGCCUUCCGCGAGCUAGGACCCACUACUGGAAGUUGCAUGUCUUUUUCUUCCAUUAUGUCUCGGGCAUAAUUUUAUUGUAUUAAAUUGAAAGUGUGUGUUGUA